rnacentral:misc_RNA from 1 species
GAUGAAGAACGCAGCGAAAUGCGAUACUUGGUGUGAAUUGCAGAAUCCCGUGAACCAUCGAGUCGUUGAACGCAAGUUGCGCCCGAAGCCAUUAGGCCGAGGGCACGCCUGCCUGGGCGUCACACGUCGUUGCCCCCCCAUCUACUCCUUCGGGAUUGCGGGGGGCGGAUGAUGGCCUCCCGUGCGCCUCGCCGCGCGGUUGGCAUAAAUGCCAAGUCCUCGGCGACGCACGCCACGACAAUCGGUGGUUGCGAAACCUCGGUUGCCCGUCGUGUGCGGUCGUCGCGCAUCGAGGGCUCGAAAAAAUUGCCGGGUUCCGGCUCGGCUUUCAACGCGACCCCAGGUCAGGCGGGGUUACCCGCUGAAUUUAAGCAUAUCAAUAAGCGGAGGA